CAACUUGGUGUAACACGCCUUACCGAGACUAAACAGCGUGUUUAAAAAACAGUCUCUCAUACCCACGAUGGAGGGUGUCGUGGGAAUACUAAUACCG
rnacentral:ncRNA from 1 species